UCCCCUGGAGAAGGAAAUGGCAUCCCACUCCAGUAUUCUUGCCUGGAGACAUGGACAGAGGAGCCUGGCAGGCUACAGCCCAUGGGGUCGCAAGAGUCAGACAUGACUUAGGUACUAAACCUCCACCACCACUGUAUAUAUUAGACAAAAGACAAAAAUUUGAUAGAAAAG